CCUGCCCACCCCCUUGGCACCCCCAGGGGCCUGGGCCCUUCCAGGGGCAGCUGCCCCGUGCAGGAAGCUGGAGGGAUGCCGGGGAAGGUGGCUGGAUGGGUGCCGCAGGCGGGAUGGACUCUGUGCCAGGGCUGGGCUUGUGGCCAGGGCUGGGGGCUGUGCCCAGCCGGGCUUUGCCCCGGGGGCUCUCGGGGAGGGGGCAGGGAGGAGUCCCGGCAGGGAUAAAUGUGCUCCUGCCCUUGUGCAGCCUCAGCCAGCGCUGCCCAGGCCCAGAGGAAGAUGAAGGUCGCUGUGCUCAGCGUGGCCCUGCUCUUCACCAUCCUGCUGAGCCCCCCGGCAGAUGCCAAGCCCAUUGAGGUCGACGGCGUCCAAUGUGGGGAGGCAGGCGGGAUCGGCGGCCCGGUGGGUACCAGGGCUUGUGCUGGGCCCAGACCCUCCCCUCUGGUGGCCACCACCCUCCAGGGCAUCCCAGUGCUCCCCAGUCCACCCCAGUGUGCACCGGGGAGGCCCUUCCUCAGGGCCCCCACUCUAUUCCCACACACCCCAGUCCACCCCACCACACACACACAGGGCAUCAUUCCCACACCAUUUCUUCCC